UACGGGGGGGGUAAGCGUUGUUCGGAAUUACUGGGCGUAAAGGGCUCGUAGGCGGCCAACUAAGUCAGACGUGAAAUCCCUCAGCUUAACUGGGGAACUGCGUCUGAUACUGGAUGGCUUGGAUUUGGGAGAGGGAUGCGGAAUUCCAGGUGUAGCGGUGAAAUGCGUAGAUAUCUGGAGGAACACCGGUGGCGAAGGCGGCUUGCUGGGCCUUACCUGACGCUGAGGAGCGAAAGCGUGGGGAGCGAACAGG
rnacentral:rRNA from 1 species